ensembl:snoRNA small nucleolar RNA SNORD113/SNORD114 family
UGGGUCAGUGAUGGCCACUGAUGAGGUAUGAUCUGGGAUCAUGACUACAGGUCUGGGAGUCUGAGGUCCAC